UAGGGAAUCUUCCACAAUGGACGAAAGUCUGAUGGAGCAACGCCGCGUGAGUGAAGAAGGGUUUCGGGCUCGUAAAACUCUGUUGUUAAAGAAGAACAUAUCUGAGAGUAACUGUUCAGGUAUUGACGGUAUUUAACCAGAAAGCCACGGCUAACUACGUGCCAG
rnacentral:rRNA from 1 species